CUUCAUGAAGCCGGAAUUGCUAGUAAUGGCAGGUCAGCAUACUGCCGUGAAUACGUUCCCGGGCCUUGUACACACCGCCCGUCACACCAUGAGAGUUGGGAAUACCCGAAGCCUGUGAGCUAACUUUUAGAGGCAGCAGUCGAAGGUAGAAUCAAUGAUUGGGGUGAAGUCGUAACAAGGUAUC
rnacentral:rRNA from 1 species